rnacentral:rRNA from 1 species
CGGACGGGUGAGUAACACGUGGAUAACCUACCUAUAAGACUGUGAUAACUUCGGGAAACCGGAGCUAAUACCGGAUAAUAUAUUGAACCGCAUGGUUCAAUAGUGAAAGACGGUUUUGCUGUCACUUAUAGAUGGAUCCGCGCCGCAUUAGCUAGUUUGUAAGGUAACGGCUUACCAAGGCAACGAUGCGUAGCCGACCUGAGAGGGUGAUCGGCCACACUGGAACUGAGACACGGUCCAG